rnacentral:rRNA from 1 species
AGUGAACGCUGGCGGUAGGCCUAACACAUGCAAGUCGAACGGCAGCACAGUAAGAGCUUGCUCUUACGGGUGGCGAGUGGCGGACGGGUGAGGAAUACAUCGGAAUCUACUUUUUCGUGGGGGAUAACGUAGGGAAACUUACGCUAAUACCGCAUACGACCUACGGGUGAAAGCAGGGGAUCUUCGGACCUUGCGCUAUUGAAUGAGCCGAUGUCGGAUUAGCUAGUUGGCGGGGUAAAGGCCAACCAAGGCGAAGAUCCGUAGCUGGUCUGAGAGGAUGAUCAGCCACACUGGAGCUGAGACACGGUCCAGACUCCUACGGGAGGCAGCAGUGGGGAAUAUUGGACAAUGGGCGCAAGCCUGAUCCAGCCAUACCGCGUGGGUGAAGAAGGCCUUCGGGUUGUAAAGCCCUUUUGUUGGGAAAGAAAAGCAGCAGGUUAAUACCCCGCUGUUCUGACGGUACCCAAAGAAUAAGCACCGGCUAACUUCGUG